rnacentral:rRNA from 1 species
UUCGCAAUGCCCGAAAGGGUGACGAAGCGACGCCGCGUGGGUGAGGAAGGCCCUCGGGUUGUAAAGCCCUGUCAGGAGUUAAAAAAUGUAGAUACGCUAAUAUCGUAUCUAUUUGACAAAGGCUCCAAAGGAAGCCACGGCUAACUCUGUGCCAGCAGCCGCGGUAAUACAGAGGUGGCAAGCGUUGUUCGGAAUUAUUGGGCGUAAAGAGCACGUAGGUGGAUUUGUAAGUCAGAUGUGAAAGCCUUCUGUUCAACGGGAGAAUUGCACCUGAAACUACAAAUCUUGAGUGUAGGAGGGGAGAAUGGAACUUCUGGUGGAGCGGUGAAAUGCGUAGAUAUCAGAAGGAACGCCGGCGACGAAAGCGAUUCUCUGGCCUAUUACUGACACUCAGUGUGCGAAAGCUAGGGGAGCAAACGGGAUUAGAUACCCCGGUAGUCCUAGCCGUAAACGAUGGGCACUAAGUAGAGGGGUUUU